GUUGCGAAGGCGCCACACUAGAACGGAUCCGACGGUCAGGGACGAAGCCUAGGGGCACGAACCGGAUUAGAUACCCGGGUAGUCCUAGGUGUAAACGCUGUGGACUUGGUGUUGGGGAUUCUCCGAGGAUCCUCAGUGCCGAAGCGAAGGUGAUAAGUCCACUGCCUGGGGAGUACGGUCGCAAGGCUGAAACUUAAAGGAAUUGGCGGGGGAGCACUGCAACGGGAGGAGCGUGCGGUUUAAUUGGAUUCAACGCCGGAAAACUCACCAGGGCCGACUGUUAGAUGAAGACCAGCGUAAUGAGCUUGUCGGAUUUUCAGAGAGGUGGUGCAUGGCCGUCGUCAGUUCGUACUGUAAAGCGUUCUGUUAAGUCAGAUAACGAACGAGACCCUCAUCUCUAUUUGCUACCCGUCUCUCCGGAGGCGGCGCACUAUAGGGAGACCGCUGGUGUUAAACCAGAGGAAGGCGAGGGCAACGACAGGUCAGUAUGCCCCGAAUGUCCUGGGCUACACGCGCGCUACAAAGGACGGGACAAUGGGAAGCCAGGCCGAGAGGCCGAGCUAACCCGAAACCCGUUCAUAGUUCGGAUCGAGGGCUGUAACUCGCCCUCGUGAAGCUGGAUUCCGUAGUAAUCGUGUUUCAAUAUAGCACGGUGAAUAUGCCCCUGCUCCUUGCACACACCGCCCGUCAAACCAUCUUAGUUGGGGGUGGGUGAGGCUGCGCUUGCUUCGGCAUGGCGUAUUCGAGCCUGUCUUCGACAAGGAGGGUUAAGUCGUAACAAGGUAUCUGUAGGGGAACCUGCAGAUG
rnacentral:rRNA from 1 species